rnacentral:rRNA from 1 species
AGCGGCGGACGGGUGAGUAAUGCCUAGGAAUCUGCCCGAUAGUGGGGGACAACGUUUCGAAAGGAACGCUAAUACCGCAUACGUCCUACGGGAGAAAGCAGGGGACCUUCGGGCCUUGCGCUAUCGGAUGAGCCUAGGUCGGAUUAGCUAGUUGGUGGGGUAAAGGCUCACCAAGGCGACGAUCCGUAACUGGUCUGAGAGGAUGAUCAGUCACACUGGAACUGAGACACGGUCCAGACUCCUACGGGAGGCAGCAGUGGGGAAUAUUGGACAAUGGGCGAAAGCCUGAUCCAGCCAUGCCGCGUGUGUGAAGAAGGUCUUCGGAUUGUAAAGCACUUUAAGCUGGGAGGAAGGGCAGUAAGUUAAUACCUUGCUGUUUUGACGUUACCAGCAGAAUAAGCACCGGCUAACUUCGUGCCAGCAGCCGCGGUAAUACGAAGGGUGCAAGCGUUAAUCGGAAUUACUGGGCGUAAAGCGCGCGUAGGUGGUUCAGCAAGUUGGAUGUGAAAGCCCCGGGCUCAACCUGGGAACUGCAUCCAAAACUACUGGGCUAGAGUAUGGUAGAGGGUGGUGGAAUUUCCUGUGUAGCGGUGAAAUGCGUAGAUAUAGGAAGGAACACCAGUGGCGAAGGCGACCACCUGGACUAAUACUGACACUGAGGUGCGAAAGC